rnacentral:sRNA from 1 species
AUGUCAACUAAAGCAAUCCACUUGGAA